ensembl:lncRNA novel transcript, antisense to COBL
GCUUCCUGUACAGCCUGCAGAACUCCGUUAUACAGGAACACACCGAAAAUCAACUGUGCGCAUUUGGCCUGUAGACAAGAAAGUAACACCAAAACUUGAUGUUCCUGGCUAUGCAGACUCCUUGAGUGACGCCUGUGGGCAUAUUACAGAUGAGGAAGUGAAGCCCCAAGGCCCAGAAGAACUGGGAGGAUCGACACCACCCGGGUUGGGUGACCAAUCACCCAAUUUGCCUGCGACUGUCCCAGAAAACCUUCCCAGCAUAGCUGGGCACCCUCAUUGAAAGGA